UUGUUGUAUAUGCGGAAACUAGAAAACAAUUUAGUUGAGGGAUGGCUGUGUUAAGUUCAACUGUAAAUGGACUUUUAAUAUUUAUGAAUAAACCCAACUAAUUUCUGAGAUAGUAGUGAUUUGUGUGUGUGUGUGUGUGUGUGUUG